AGCCGAAUAAACCCUUUCCUCCCCAACUUGUUUCUUGGGCAUGAUGUUUGUGCAGGAAUAGAAACCCUGACUGAGACAGUCAGGGACAGAGGCAGAGGAGAGAUGCAUGCUGGCGCUUACCUCAUUCUUUUUUUUUAAUUCAGCUCAGGGCUCAGUCUAUGAAAUCAUGACACCCAUGUUCACGGUGUGUCUUUCUGCUUCAUUUAGCCCAAUUUAAAAAACCCUUCACAGGAAUGCCCAAAGUCCAACACAAUCUAGAAAUUUCCUCCCCGAGACUCUCUUCCAGCUCAAGUCAACGAUUAAAACUAAUGCCAAUUUUCACUUGAACUUUUUUAAAUAGUUCAUUUUAUUUUGAUUUUAGGACAUUGAAGUUUUGUCUGCAUGUAUGUCUGUGUGCGGGUGUUGGAUUCCCUGGAACUGGAGCUACAGACAGUUGAAACUGCCACGUGGGCGUUGGGAAUUGAACCCAGGUUCUCUGGAAGAGCCAAUGCACGGAACUACGGAGCCAUCUCUCCAGCCCUCCACUUGAAUUUUAACAAAUAUUUGCAAAACAUCUAUUACAUAAUAGGUUUGCAGAAAAGACCAAAUAUGAAGACGAAAUUUUGUUUUAGGCAGGUUCCAUAUAGCACAGGUUGGCCUUGAACUCAUCAUAUAGAGAAGGAUGGAUUUGAACUCGUGUUCUUCCUGUCUGCCACUCCCAAGUGCAGGCACCACAAUGCUCAGGUGGAAAAUGGCAAAUUCACUUAUAAGACGAAGUGGGAACUGGAACUGAGGAGGAGACCUCAUGUGAAUCAGGGAUGUGAAAGAGUAGAAAGCUCAGCACACCACGCACACACGGACAACCGAGGGCAGACCAAAUCAGCAAAGCCUGCUACGCUGGAAAUUCUGAGCAAUCAUUUUAAAGAGUCACUCUGCGAAGAGUUUGUUGGGUAACUGGCGAAGCAAAGCAAUU
rnacentral:lncRNA from 1 species